rnacentral:pre_miRNA from 1 species
UUUAUUUGUCUUAAGUCAAACUCGUUCAAUUUUAACCAAGUUUAUAGAAGAAUAUAACAAUAUCUAUACUACCAAAUAUAUGAACUAUCAAAAUAUAUUUCAUAGUAGAUUUAAUGAAAUAAAUUUAAUAUUAUAGAUAUUGUUAUAUUUUUUUAUAAACUUGGUCAAAGUUGAACGAGUUUAACUUAGGACAAACCAAA